CCUACGGGAGGCAGCAGUGAGGAAUAUUGGACAAUGGGCGGAAGCCUGAACCAGCCAAGCCGCGUGAGGGAUGAAGGAUCUAUGGAUCGUAAACCUCUUUUAUAAGGGAAUAAAGUGUGGGAUGUGUCCUAUUUUGUAUGUACCUUAUGAAUAAGGAUCGGCUAACUCCGUGCCAGCAGCCGCGGUAAUACGGAGGAUCCGAGCGUUAUCCGGAUUUAUUGGUUUUAAAGGGUGUGUAGGCGGCCCUUGAAGUCAGCGGUGAAAGUCUGUGGCUCAACCAUAGAAUUGCCGUUGAAACUGGGGGGCUUGAGUAUGUUUGAGGCAGGCGGAAUGCGUAGUGUAGCGGUGAAAUGCUUAGAUAUCACGCAGAACCCCAAUUGCGAAGGCAGCCUGCCAAGCCAUGACUGACGCUGAUGCACGAAAGCGUGGGGAUCAAACAGGAUUAGAUACCCCAGUAGUC
rnacentral:rRNA from 1 species